UAUUUUGACAGUAUUAAUCAAUUUUUAUUUUUUUUUAUGUAAAGUGAGAAAUUUGAGCAGUUUUAAAUAUUCAUUAUAUAUUUUUGCUAAUAAAAUAUAAUUUAUCUUUUUAAAAAGUUAUUUUUGCUUAAUAUCUAUACAAGGGCAUUGCAAUUUAUAUUACUUAUUUUAUGUUCCAAAGUAAACUAAAUUGCAGGUUUAAUUAAAAAUUAAUUUUAAUUACUUUUAUUUAGGCUUAAUGUUAGUAUGUUCUUUCGUUAUUUCUAGAAAAAAUAUAUGUAUUUAGAGGACAUAGAAAAUAACGUGAUUUAAUUCCGAGUUAAUAAUAAAUUGUGUAUUAUUAUCCUCAUGAUAGUUGAUUGGAGUUAAUUUAAUUUUUUUAAAUAAACUCUUAUUUUGAUUUGAUUUUCAAAUUAAAGUUUUUGAAUGAAUAGGAAUCCUUUUAUAAUUUUAGAGGUUUCUAUACAAAUUUUAUUACAUUUUUUUAUCUCUUUAUUCACUUUUACUUUUUGAUGUUAUUGUUAUUAUUUUAAUGUAAUACAAUUUUAUGUCGUAGAAAAUAUACGAAGAUUCUUAUUUCUAACAUUUUUUAUUGAUUUAUAUGUUUAAUUUUUAUUAACAGAUAUAGUAAUUUUCGGUGUUCUACUAUUUUCUUUUAAAAAGAAAUGAGUUCUUUGAAAAAAAUUAUGAAAAAAGUGCAUUUUGAUACCAUUUGCCAAACUCAAUGUAAGCAUUUUUUGGAUAUGCCAAAAGGCACUAUUCCAUGGGAUCAUGUUGAAGCGUUAGUGACUCAAUUUGAUGGGUCAAUACGAAAGUUCACAUUUGGUAGGAAUAUUGUUCUACCAUUUUCAUGUGAAGAGUUUUCAGUCACAAUAGGACUUAAUUAUAAAGGUCUACACGUAGAUGAUAACAUCCUAUCAACAUUUAAAUUACUUACAAGCUUGUUCAAUGGAAAGGUAAGUAACGUCAAACACAAAAUCAUUAUUGAACAUAUGAGGAGUGUUUUUAAAAAAGAAAGUAGUGAAGGAAACAUUCGAAAAUUUCUUUCUUUGUUUAUUUUGUUUGUGUUUUGUUGUGUUUUAUUUCCAAUUGGAAAUUACUCAAUUACUCCAUUUUUACUUCGGCAUAUUGACAUUUUGGAUUUCAUUGGAAAGUAUGCUUGGGGUAGAGCUGUAUAUGAUUUUUUAGUGAAGUCAAUGACAUACUUCAAAUCUCGAGAAAGAGUCUACUUGGAUGGUUGCAUAGUUGGACUAAUGGGAUGAAUUUAUGAAAGAAUUCUCUCUCUAGCAAAGCUAUGUGAUGUACCUAUUGUUCCCCGAUUCAUGAGGUGGAUCGAGACAAAAUUUAUUGGAGAUGGUGAAAGAAGUUUGAAGUUACCCGAACAAAUUAAGCAAUGGGAUAUUAUUGAAUUCACAGUCAGAAAAGUAGAUGAGUUAUUGAUUAGACCACUGCAACCUGCACAAGAGAUAAUAUUUAUAUUUUAUUUAAUUUACAGUAUAAUGUUUUAAUAUGCAUAUUUUUAUAGGAUGUUUAUGAGGAAUGCAUGAGACUAAGAAAUGAAGUAAUAUAAAAAUAAGGCAUUGAUUGAGAAGCUUCGCACGCUACUACAUGAAUUCGAGGAGAUAUGUUUGGAAGUGAGGAUGAGCGAGUUGAAAAGGUUGGGCCUAGUGAUUCAAAGAAAAUAGCUAUUGAUGAAAUGAAAGUUGUAUUGAUUAUGUGAAAGUUGUUGAGGACGGUGACUAUGAAGAAGUCUAUGAAGAUAAAGAGAAAUUAAAUAGCGAAGAGGAUGACGUCAAAGCUCAUAAUAAAGAGGACACAAUUGAAAGGGCUGAGAAAAAUAAGUGCGCGAAGAACUUGAUUGGAGAGAACUUUGAUAAUAUAUGCAUUUUAGAACACUUGAUAUCAUCCAUUGCCCAAAAUGUUUGUGAUCGAAAUGAUAAAAAAAGAAAAAAAUGUAGUUCAUUUAUGACUCCACCUACCUCUCCUCCGCCAAAUCAAAUAAGAAAGAACAAGAAUAAAACAAUAGUUAACCUCCCUAUUGUGGUAAGUAAGAAUAAUUGUUUUAUUAUAAUAAUAUUUAUUAUUAUUUUUUUACAAGUAAAUAAGAAAUUGAUAUUCUCCUAAGGAAUAUGAUAAGUAUCACAAGAAUCUUAACUUCAAGGGGAGAGAAAUCAUUUCUGAAAAUGGACGUGAGAUUAUUGAUAACUUUCUUUGCAAUGCAAAAUUUAGGUAAGUAAUAUUGUUUUAGUUUUGGUUAUUUUUAAUGAUAUUUUCAAAUACAUUUUAUAGUUUUUAUUUCGUAGGGUCACUAUUUGGAAUUCUGAAGAUCAACAUGUAGUUGGAACAUCCAUUAUUGAUGUUUUGUUCAACCGUUCUACACGUGGUGAGGUUAUUGAUGGAUUUAACGAGAUUAUUUGUAGGGAAGUGCACAAACACUUUAAUAAUCUGGAUCACAUUAUAGGGUAUGUUUCAUCUUUUUUGCGAAAAGCUUUAUGAGUGAGCUACGCACCAAGGGAUUUAAACUGGUUCUGUACCACUAAAUAAUUUUGAUGACUUUCUUGGUUAUUUGUGGGAUCCUGUGAAAAAUGGUUUCAAUAGAAUAGCAUCAGAAAUGUGUCGUGGUUGUCGGUAUAUCCUUAUUUUAGUUUUGACUGGCUUCCAUUGGCACCUUCUUGUUAUUGAUUCUAAGGAAAAAUGUAUUACUCACCGCGACUCUAUGCCUUCUCCAAAAUCCAGGGGUGAUGCAAACACUCUAGUAGACUUUUAUUUUAA